GACAGAGGUGCCGAGCGUUAGGCGGAAUCACUGGGCUUAAAGCGUGUGUAGGCGGGCCGUUAAGUGUCUUGUGAAAUCCCCCUGCUCAACCGGGGAAUUGCUGGGCAUACUGGCGGUCUUGAGCAGUCUAGGGGCAGAUGGAACAAGUGGUGGAGCGGUGAAAUGCGUAGAUAUCACUUGGAACGCCAAAGGUGAAGACAGUCUGCUGGGGACUUGCUGGCGCUGAGACACGAAAGCCAGGGGAGCGAACGGG
rnacentral:rRNA from 1 species